rnacentral:lncRNA from 1 species
UAGCCUCCAUUUAUCUCUCUCUCUCUUUUUCCUAUUCCUCUGGUCUUUCUUCUUCUUCAUUUGAUCGUGAAAUUCUCAGCCUCCUCCAUUUAUUUUAUGAAAUUCACCUAAAUUAGCCUAUCAAAAUUACAGAAAUUGACAACAAAGAUUAAGUAAACAGUCUAUAAGAUUACAUCGUAAUCCUCAAUCCUUCUCCAACGCGAUGCUCCUCACGGAGAAUCUUUGACCAGUCCGGCGCGUUUAUCGGGAGCGACGUCGCGGAGACGCCGGCGCAUGAGGACGA